rnacentral:snoRNA from 1 species
GGCUUCCAGGGUAAGAAUGAAUGCCAGAGAAAACCGUUGAUUAAUCCAAAAUGCAGAGCUCUUCUCCCGUGGCUCUUCGUUAUUUCACAUCUUCAACAUUU